GCUACAAGCUUGCGAUCGCCCGUGGUAAGACGUAUGGUGCUAGCGGUAAUCGGAAGUACUGGGCGUAAAGGGGGCGCAGGCGGCCGCGCAAGUCGAGUGUGAAAGCCCCGAGCUUAACUUGGGAAUUGCGCUCGAAACUACGUGGCUGGAGUGUGGCAGAGGAAGGUGGAAUUCCAGGUGUAGCGGUGAAAUGCGUAGAGAUCUGGAGGAACACCGAUGGCGAAGGCAGCCUUCUGGGCCAACACUGACGCUCAUGCACGAAAGCGUGGGGAGCAAACAGGAUUAGAUACCCGAGUAGUC
rnacentral:rRNA from 1 species